GACUAAAUGGCCGAUAAAGGCAUAGAAUUUUUAAUUCUUUCAUGAGAAAGCUCUUUAGUU
rnacentral:tRNA from 1 species